rnacentral:misc_RNA from 1 species
UUUUUUCCCAUUUUCAUAUAGCUGCAAAAGCGGAACAUCUAAACAGUGAAGAAGAAGAUGAUUUCCCAUGUAUUGAAAGUGUUACUCCUCAGUCCAAGAUCGACUCAAUUUACCAGUCCAAGACUGAAAAGGGAAUUAGGAAAAUCUGUUUUGAGCUUUUGGAUUUGAAGGAUGCGGUGGAAAACCUGUGUGGUAAUACUCGAACUAAGUGCCUGGCCUUCUUGAGAUUGUCUGAGGAAGUUGUGGAAACAGAACACGAGCUCAAUGAGCUUAGAAAGCAUAUAUCCGCUCAGGGUAUUCUUGUUCAAGAUCUCAUGAAUGGUGUAUGCAGAGAAUUGGAUGAAUGGAGCCGAACAAGUGGUGAUGUCCAAGAAGCUAAUGAAAGCUCUCGGAGCUCUGAUUAUGGUGAUACUUUCAUGAAUGACAUGGAAGAUGAAAACAUGUUGUUUUUGGAGAAUAUUGAUGUUCUUCUGGCUGAGCACAAGAUUGAGGAAGUAAUAGAGGCAAUAGAUGCUAAAGAAAG